UUUUCUAUUCUAAAACAAUUUUAGCUGUUAAACAGCAAAAUCAAGAUAGAACAUAUAUCUCAAAUUCUAAAAUCAGACGGGAGACGCAACGAGAUUGUGUCUAGUUAUUAUACUUUUUUUUCUGACUCCUUUUCGGCUUCAUAACUCAAAACUUUUUUAACCGAUUUUUAUGAAACUUUAAGAGGUAAUGUGCAAUUAUAAUGCCUCGAAAAUGUAAAAGUUUCUAUGGCAACGUCACUUCCGUUUUUAUGUAACUUCAUUUUUAAAAUUUUCAAAAAGCCAUUUUGUCCGCGGCUUUUUUCAAAAACGCUUCAAGGUAGAAAGUUGAAAUUUUUCGUGCUUAUAUGUUAAUCAUUUUGCCUUUGUAAUUAAGCCGGAAAUGAAAAUCCGUCACUUCCGGUCGAAACUGGAAGUGAUUCAAAUUUUUCGAAAAAUUAAAUUUUUUGAUCAAAUAAAAAACGUAUAUGUAUUUUGUAGAGUUUGAUAAGCUGAACCUAUCACCGAAAAUCGUUUUAAAAUCGGACGAUGCAUUACAGAGUUAUUGGGGUUUAAAAAUUGAUUUUUCCGGAAAUUUUGAUUCCGCGUCCUUGGUUAAAAAAAUAUCUUUGGAAGACGGUAUAAAGAGUUGAAAUAAUUUACCGUCUCCGGGUUGUGCACUUCCUUUCCUUUGUGAUUGGUUGAAAAUACAUGAUGUGAAAAUUUACAUUUAUUUCAUUGGUUGAAAUACUGUUCGGUGCAAGGGAGAUAAUUUUCUGAUGAUAUUUUUCACGUACGACUUAACAAAUUUCGUACAUUUCAAAUCUUAAAAAGUGAGAAAACGAAAAAGCAAUACAAAUAGCUAUGAAUGAAAUUCAGACUUUGGUUUUCAGGUCCAACUUGUUGAAAGUAACAUUCUACAAUAUCUAUUAAAAUUAUUUGUUUU
rnacentral:sRNA from 1 species